rnacentral:rRNA from 1 species
AUUGAACGCUGGCGGCAGGCCUAACACAUGCAAGUCGAGCGGAUGAAGGGAGCUUGCUCCUGGAUUCAGCGGCGGACGGGUGAGUAAUGCCUAGGAAUCUGCCUGGUAGUGGGGGAUAACGUCCGGAAACGGGCGCUAAUACCGCAUACGUCCUGAGGGAGAAAGUGGGGGAUCUUCGGACCUCACGCUAUCAGAUGAGCCUAGGUCGGAUUAGCUAGUUGGUGGGGUAAAGGCCUACCAAGGCGACGAUCCGUAACUGGUCUGAGAGGAUGAUCAGUCACACUGGAGCUGAGACACGGUCCAGACUCCUACGGGAGGCAGCAGUGGGGAAUAUUGGACAAUGGGCGAAAGCCUGAUCCAGCCAUGCCGCGUGUGAAGAAGGUCUUCGGAUUGUAAAGCACUUUAAGUUGGGAGGAAGGGCAGUAAGUUAAUACCUUGCUGUUUUGACGUUACCAACAGAAUAAGCACCGGCUAACUUCGUG